UACGGAGGGUGCAAGCGUUAUCCGGAUUCACUGGGUUUAAAGGGUGCGUAGGUGGGCAAGUAAGUCAGUGGUGAAAUCUCCGGGCUUAACCCGGAAACUGCCACUGAUACUAUUUGUCUUGAAUACUGUGGAGGUCAGCGGAAUAUGUCAUGUAGCGGUGAAAUGCUUAGAUAUGACAUAGAACACCAAUUGCGAAGGCAGCUGGCUACACAAAUAUUGACACUGAGGCACGAAAGCGUGGGGAUCAAACAGG
rnacentral:rRNA from 1 species